CAGAAAAUAGUUUUAAAAGCAGAGUGUCUGAUAGAUCCUCCAGUCCUGGUAGUAGCUGGAACUGAACAACUAGAAAAUGGCUCAGAUCCUUUUUUUAAGGGAGAGUACAUCAAAGGCAGGGAUAAGGUUUCAGCAGGAGGAGUCUUGCCUCUUGGUGUGGCAGGGGACUUGCAGCAAACAGGUUGAUUGGCAUCUUGGCAAGCCACACCUAUCUCUGAGAGGCUGUGU
rnacentral:lncRNA from 1 species